CUUUAAUCAGGUGCUAUAGCUGAGGAGAUGGGAGCUCAGUCUCAAAUCCAUCUCCCUGACUGACUAAAACCAGGAGUUUAUAUAGCAGUGCUUAAAACAAUACUUUAAGAAAUGUUCAAUAUUCCACGAGAACAAUAUCCACGUGACAUGAAAAGAAAAGUCUAAGUUGAUUCCUGGAAGCUGGGAAAGUCUCAUUCCAGUAACUGCUUAAUAUCCCCCGUCAGUCUUCUUCAAAGGCUGAAGCCAGCCUCUGACUGAAGCGCAGCCUCAAUCU